AGUUUGUUGGUGAGGUAAUGGCUCACCAAGACGACGACGGGUAGCCGGCCUGAGAGGGCGACCGGCCACACUGGGACUGAGACACGGCCCAGACUCCUACGGGAGGCAGCAGUGGGGAAUAUUGCACAAUGGGGGAAACCCUGAUGCAGCGACGCAGCGUGCGGGAUGACGGCCUUCGGGUUGUAAACCGCUUUCAGCAGGGAAGAAGCCUUUAUCGGUGACGGUACCUGCAGAAGAAGUACCGGCUAACUACGUGCCAGCAGCCGCGGUAAUACGUAGGGUACAAGCGUUGUCCGGAAUUAUUGGGCGUAAAGAGCUCGUAGGUGGUUGGUCACGUCUGCUGUGGAAACGCAACGCUUAACGUUGCGCGUGCAGUGGGUACGGGCUGACUAGAGUGCAGUAGGGGAGUCUGGAAUUCCUGGUGUAGCGGUGAAAUGCGCAGAUAUCAGGAGGAACACCGGUGGCGAAGGCGGGACUCUGGGCUGUAACUGACACUGAGGAGCGAAAGCAUGGGGAGCGAACAGGAUUAGAUACCCUGGUAGUCCAUGCCGUAAACGUUGGGCACUAGGUGUGGGGGACAUUCCACGUUCUCCGCGCCGUAGCUAACGCAUUAAGUGCCCCGCCUGGGGAGUACGGUCGCAAGGCUAAAACUCAAAGGAAUUGACGGGGGCCCGCACAAGCGGCGGAGCAUGCGGAUUAAUUCGAUGCAACGCGAAGAACCUUACCAAGGCUUGACAUACACCAGACCGUUCUGGAAACAGUUCCUCCCCUUUGGGGUUGGUGUACAGGUGGUGCAUGGUUGUCGUCAGCUCGUGUCGUGAGAUGUUGGGUUAAGUCCCGCAACGAGCGCAACCCUCGUUCUAUGUUGCCAGCACGUAAUGGUGGGAACUCAUAGGAGACUGCCGGGGUCAACUCGGAGGAAGGUGGGGAUGACGUCAAAUCAUCAUGCCCUUUAGGUCUUGGGCUUCACGCAUGCUACAAUGGCUGGUACAGAGAGAUGCGAGACCGCGAGGUUUUAGCGAAUCCCUUAAAGCCAGUCUCAGUUCGGAUCGUAGUCUGCAAUUCGACUACGGAAGUCGGAGUCGCUAGAAUCGCAGAU
rnacentral:rRNA from 1 species